rnacentral:rRNA from 1 species
GUGGGGAAUAUUGGACAAUGGGCGAAAGCCUGAUCCAGCCAUGCCGCGUGUGUGAAGAAGGUCUUCGGAUUGUAAAGCACUUUAAGUUGGGAGGAAGGGCAGUAAGUUAAUACCUUGCUGUUUUGACGUUACCGACAGAAUAAGCACCGGCUAACUUCGUGCCAGCAGCCGCGGUAAUACGAAGGGUGCAAGCGUUAAUCGGAAUUACUGGGCGUAAAGCGCGCGUAGGUGGUUUUGUAAGUUGGAGGUGAAAUCCCCGGGCUCAACCUGGGAACUGCCUCCAAAACUGCAUGACUAGAGUACGGUAGAGGGUAGUGGAAUUUCCUGUGUAGCGGUGAAAUGCGUAGAUAUAGGAAGGAACACCAGUGGCGAAGGCGGCCAUCUGGACCAGCACUGACACUGAGGCACGAAAGCGUGGGGAGCAAACAGGAUUAGAAACCCCGGUAGUCC